GGGGGCGAAAAUGGUUUCGACGGGGAUUCUGAGCCUAAAGUAGCGAGUCGUUGAUGAAUCACACAACGCUAAAACGGUUCAAAAAAAUAAACGACGAAAAUAAUUUCGCAUUAGCUGCCUAAGGGCGGCUUAUCUAACUUAAAGUUCCCACGCUUUAAGCUUAGGUAUCAUAUUUAAGUGGGGAACCGAGUCGUGUAAGGUGUCAUAACACGAAACGGAACUUAUGACAAUACUCUAUAGCUUUUUGAUUAUUUAGUUGUUAUAGGGGAAAAUUUAAAAAUAGUCUGCACUCGGAGAAGCUUUUUGCAGACGGAUCUUCGGACGUGAGUUCGACUCUCACCGCCUCCACCA
rnacentral:tmRNA from 1 species